rnacentral:rRNA from 1 species
UACGUAGGGCGCAAGCGUUGUCCGGAAUUAUUGGGCGUAAAGAGCUCGUAGGCGGUUUGUUACGUCCGCUGUGAAAUCCCAGGGCUUAACCCUGGGCUUGCAGUGGAUACGGGCAGACUAGAGGCAGGUAGGGGAGAAUGGAAUUCCCGGUGUAGCGGUGAAAUGCGCAGAUAUCGGGAGGAACACCGGUGGCGAAGGCGGUUCUCUGGACAGUUCCUGACGCUGAGGCACGAAGGCCAGGGGAGCAAACGGG